rnacentral:rRNA from 1 species
AUACGUAGGUCACGAGCGUUAUCCGGAAUUAUUGGGCGUAAAGAGUGAGCAGGCGGCAAGGUAAGUUUGGAGUGAAAGCGUGGGGCUUAACCCCAUACAGCUUCGAAAACUACCUAGCUAGAGUAUGUGAGAGGUCAACGGAACUCCAUGUGUAGCGGUGAAAUGCGUAGAUAUAUGGAAGAACACCGGUGGCGAAGGCGGUUGACCAGCACAAUACUGACGCUCAGUCACGAAAGCGUGGGGAGCAAAUAGGAUUAGAUACCCUAGUAGUCCACGCCGUAAACGAUGAUGACUAACUAUUGCCGUGAGGCAGUGGUGAAGCUAACGCAUUAAGUCAUCCGCCUGGGAAGUACGGUCGCAAGACUGAA